CGCGCUCGUAGUGUAGCUGGUUCAGCACCUGGAUCUCCAGAAUCUAUAACCUCCGUUCGAAUCGGGGCGAGCGUGU
rnacentral:tRNA from 1 species